UUGGAGGGCAAGUCUGGUGCCAGCAGCCGCGGUAAUUCCAGCUCCAAUAGCGUAUAUUAAAGUUGUUGCUGUUAAAAAGCUCGUAGUUGAAUUUCGGGAUCAAUAUAUCGGUCGUGCCUUGGUACGUACUGGUAUCAUUGGUUUCUCCUUUCUGACGAACCAUGAUGUUAUUAAUUUGGUGUUAUGGGAAGUUAGGACUGUUACUUUGAAAAAAUUAGAGUGUUUAAAGCAGGCUUUAGCUUGAAUACAUUAGCAUGGAAUAAUGAAAUAGGACGUUCGAACCUAUUUUGUUGGUUUCUAGGAUCAACGUAAUGAUUAAUAGGGAUAGUUGGGGGCAUUAGUAUUCAAUUGUCAGAGGUGAAAUUCUUGGAUUUAUUGAAGACUAACUACUGCGAAAGCAUUUGCCAAGGAUGUUUUCAUUAAUCAAGAACGAAAGUUAGGGGAUCGAAGACGAUCAGAUACCGUCGUAGUCUUAACCAUAAACUAUGCCGACUAGGGAUCGGAUGAUGUUAAUUUUUUAAUGACUCAUUCGGCGCCUUACGGGAAACCAAAGUGUUUGGGUUC
rnacentral:rRNA from 1 species